GUUUCCGUAGUGUAGUGGUUAUCACGUCCGCUUAACACGCGGAAGGUCCCCGGUUCGAGCCCGGGCGGAAACA
rnacentral:tRNA from 1 species